GACAGAGGCCUCGAGCGUUAGGCGGAAUCACUGGGCUUAAAGCGUGUGUAGGCGGAUCGUUAAGUGCCUUGUGAAAUCCCACGGCUUAACUGUGGAACGGCUGGGCAUACUGGCGGUCUUGAGCCAUCUAGGGGCGACUGGAACAAAUGGUGGAGCGGUGGAAUGCGUAGAUAUCGUUUGGAACGCCAAUGGUGAAAACAGGUCGCUGGGGAUGAGCUGACGCUGAGACACGAAAGCCAGGGGAGCAAACGGG
rnacentral:rRNA from 1 species